GCGGACGGGUGAGUAAUGUCUGGGAAACUGCCUGAUGGAGGGGGAUAACUACUGGAAACGGUAGCUAAUACCGCAUGACCUCGCAAGAGCAAAGUGGGGGACCUUCGGGCCUCACGCCAUCGGAUGUGCCCAGAUGGGAUUAGCUAGUAGGUGGGGUAAUGGCUCACCUAGGCGACGAUCCCUAGCUGGUCUGAGAGGAUGACCAGCCACACUGGAACUGAGACACGGUCCAGACUCCUACGGGAGGCAGCAGUGGGGAAUAUUGCACAAUGGGCGCAAGCCUGAUGCAGCCAUGCCGCGUGUGUGAAGAAGGCCUUCGGGUUGUAAAGCACUUUCAGCGAGGAGGAAGGCAAUCGUGUUAAUAGCACGGUUGAUUGACGUUACUCGCAGAAGAAGCACCGGCUAACUCCGUGCCAGCAGCCGCGGUAAUACGGAGGGUGCAAGCGUUAAUCGGAAUUACUGGGCGUAAAGCGCACGCAGGCGGUUUGUUAAGUCAGAUGUGAAAUCCCCGCGCUUAACGUGGGAACUGCAUUUGAAACUGGCAAGCUAGAGUCUUGUAGAGGGGGGUAGAAUUCCAGGUGUAGCGGUGAAAUGCGUAGAGAUCUGGAGGAAUACCGGUGGCGAAGGCGGCCCCCUGGACAAAGACUGACGCUCAGGUGCGAAAGCGUGGGGAGCAAACAGGAUUAG
rnacentral:rRNA from 1 species